ACUUACCAGGUCCAGACAUUGUGAGGAUUGACAGAUUGAGAGCCCUUUCUUGAUUCAAUGGGUGGUGGUGCAUGGCCGUUAACCUGGUUUGUGGA
rnacentral:rRNA from 1 species